rnacentral:lncRNA from 1 species
AGCACCACAUCAGUGAAUUGUUAGUGCCUAGUCAGCAAUCAGAAUAUUCCUUUAGUUUGGAAAAAUUACAUAUCAAUCCCUAAAGUUUGAAAAUCUUAUAGUUUAGUACCUCACUUUUGAGAAAAUUAUAUUUUGCUCUCAGAGGUUUGUGGAAAUUUGUAGUUGAGUCCCCAAAGUUUUGAUAAUUGCAGUUUAAUCCCUAGACUUUCUGAUUUAGUCCCCUUUAAGGUUUUUCUACAUUACGGA